UACGUAGGGACCAAGCGUUGUUCGGAUUUACUGGGCGUAAAGGGCGCGUAGGCGGCAAUUCAAGUCAUCUGUGAAAUCUCCGGGCUUAACUCGGAACGGUCAGGUGAAACUGCUUUACUAGAGUGCGGAAGGGGCAAUCGGAAUUCUCGGUGUAGCGGUGAAAUGCGUAGAUAUCGAGAGGAACACCUGAGGUGAAGACGGGUUGCUGGGCCGACACUGACGCUGAAGCGCGAAAGCCAGGGGAGCAAACGGG
rnacentral:rRNA from 1 species